GAUGAACGCUAGCGGCAGGCUUAAUACAUGCAAGUCGAGGGGCAGCGCGGGUAGCAAUACCUGGCGGCGACCGGCAAACGGGUGCGGAACACGUACGCAACCUUCCCAAAACUGGGGAAUAGCCCUCCGAAAGGAGGAUUAAUACCCCGUAACAUAACGAAGUGGCAUCACUUUGUUAUUAUAGUUCCGACGGUUUUGGAUGGGCGUGCGCCUGAUUAGGUAGUUGGCGGGGUAACGGCCCACCAAGCCUACGAUCAGUAACUGGUGUGAGAGCACGACCAGUCACACGGGCACUGAGACACGGGCCCGACUCCUACGGGAGGCAGCAGUAAGGAAUAUUGGUCAAUGGACGAAAGUCUGAACCAGCCAUGCCGCGUGAAGGAUGAAGGCCCUCUGGGUUGUAAACUUCUUUUGUCUGGGGCGAAAAAGACUCGUUUACGAGUAACUGACGGUACCAGAAGAAUAAAGCACCGGCUAACUCCGUGCCAGCAGCCGCGGUAAGUCUCGCGUGA
rnacentral:rRNA from 1 species